rnacentral:rRNA from 1 species
CACGUAGGGUGCGAGCGUUGUCCGGAAUUAUUGGGCGUAAAGAGCUUGUAGGCGGUGUGUCGCGUCGGCCGUGAAAACCUGCAGCUUAACUGUGGGCUUGCGGUCGAUACGGGCAUCACUGGAGUUCGGCAGGGGAGACUGGAAUUCCUGGUGUAGCGGUGAAAUGCGCAGAUAUCAGGAGGAACACCGGUGGCGAAGGCGGGUCUCUGGGCAGUAACUGACGCUGAGGAGCGAAAGCGUGGGGAGCGAACAGG